rnacentral:lncRNA from 1 species
CCCUGGGUGGCGCAGCGGUUUGGUGCCUGCCUUUGGCCCAGGGCGUGAUCCUGGAGACCCGGGAUCAAGUCCCACAUCGGGCUCCCUGCAUGGAGCCUGCUUUUCCCUCUGCCUAUGUCUCUGCCUCUCUCUCUCUCUGUGUGUGACUAUCAUAAAUAAAUAAAAAUUUAAAAAAAAAGAAAUGAACAUUUUAAAAAAAUCCAAAUUUUUCAUCAUGACAGGAAUGUAAACACAAAGAAAAUCAGAGAGACAUUACUGUCCUGCCCACGUGCCCAUGCCAGACUGUGAUAAAUUUGGCCCAUAGGUAAUAAGCUGUAGCAGCCAAGCAUAUGUAGGCAUUUUGUGCAGGGAGCCCUUGGCAUCUCAGCCGCCAGGAAUGCAAAGGAAGACAGAAUGUGCAACAGGAUCACACCAACUACCUUUUGGGUAUAUAUAUAAUGGAGGUAAUUAAAAGUGGAAUAUUGAAGGAAGGCUAUGUAAAUAUAAGAUCUGAUUAGCUAGAAGAGAACUGCUUUUCAUAAAAUCCAAGUCAAGAGAAAAUAUAAUUUUCACUGAUAAAUCGAUAUAAACAAUACCUGUCGUUAUUCAGAGUUGCUUUUAAGCUUUAAACUUAUUUUAAGAACUCAAGUUUUUAAACUAUUAACUGCUCUGCAUUAGUAAUCUAGUGGCCUGAAUACAGAAGUAAUGCUAAAUGAUAUAAAGUCUGUGUAUUCCAAAUAGGAUUAAAAGUGGGAAAUUUGCUAUGUCUAUCUAAAGCUGUCCAAUGAAAAAUAAAGCAUAACUUGCUAUUUAAUGAGUAAAUAUGAAAAAAUUGAUUUAAAUUAACUCAUGAUACUAGGUUAGGCAAGAAAUCUGUGACACUAGCCAUCAUGACCAUCUUAAACCAAAGGAAAAAAUGUCCCCAUCUUUGAAAAAUGUUUGUAAAGGAAUUCACAAAUACUAUACCAGGCUUGGCAAAGAUGGAAAGGCUCUAUUCACGAAGGCAGAAAACAAGCCACAGGACUUACCCCACAGCAAAACUCACUUGCUGGAUGCCAACACACUACAGAUUUCAACAGCCUGCCAUGUCCUCCCUUCAUUCCUCCCCGUCUGCUCGGGGUGGAGGAGGGGGCAGAAAAAUACAACCUGCCACAAGACUGUGAUUAAAGAGCAUCUAAGAGUGAAAAGGCUACAGACAAAUUUGGUUUGUUUACUUCCUCCUCCUCCUCCUCCUCAAUCCUGUUACCAGCUU